GAUAGUGGCGUGUGUAAAAACUUGUACAAACCGUGGACACCAGUGGAGUCUACAGUCUUUUUGUCACUAAACAAGACGAUAGACUUUUUUUAUACAGUCGAAGGUAGGAAUAGCUGUAUAACAGCACAUUAAACAAUGUGAACACUAACUAUGAACAACAAGAUGUGAUCAACGAAGCGAUUCAAACACGUAUUUAAAUCAUCGACAACAUUUUAAUAAGAUUACAGUACCUUUGUAAUUCUAGAUGAUUUAGAAAGUAUGGCAAGUGAGGAUUGAUUAUCUAAAUAUUUCACAGGUACACUUGAAUUACAAGAAUGUUUUGAGGGUCAAGGUGAGAUAAAUCUUUACAAACACUUGGUAAUUUGCAACAAAAAUCCUGGCCAUAAAAAAUUAAUACCCGUAAAUAAGUUAACUGUUGAGCAUUUUCCUUCUGGUUACCAUGACAACGACCUGUAUGACCUAACACAAGCCCUAGCUGCCCUAACCGUCAGGAUAGCCGUUAAGUUCACCAGUCCAGACAGACCAGAGUUUGUACCAGGCACUAAAGAUCCAUAUCCUUGCUACAACACCAGGGGACAGAACUCACUGAUGACAGGGACUGGGAUAAUGUGGUUGGUGGAAAAGUACAUAGAGGGAACGAGGGGCUACAGGAAAUGUCCAUGUCCUGAAUGUGACCACUCGGACACACCCAGCAAAGUGUGGUGGAAAGUUUGUAUGUUGACAGCCAGACAUGUGGUAUUUGAUACGAGUGAGGCGAGGCAGUCCAGCUGUAGGUUGUGGUUUGAUGGUGAUAAAAGUCCAGUCGUCAACAUUUAUGGAUAUGAGGUGGGUUUGUCAUACACCGUUGGAGACACUUGUUUGUUGUAUUGUGUGACACAUGACGUAGAUGUAGCUGAUAAAAUUGGAGAGAUGGUUGAGCGGUUUGAUGGUCUACGAGAGAAGGUAAGGGACAAAUACAAGAGACUUUGAGGUGUGGACAAGCUGACCAUUAUAGUGUCACAUCCUCAUGGCUGUUCUAAGCAGGUCUCUAUAGGUCACUGGGUACACAGACAUAAUGUGAAGUUAGGAGAGACCAGGUACACCUACACAACAUGUACCUGCCCAGGUAGCAGUGGAGCUCUGGUCUACAGACUUUUGACUGGUCUUAUCACCUCCACGUUGGAACAAAUUCUAACCCUAACUCCGGCGUAUUAAAUUUUAGUGGGGUGCAAUGGGACGAGGAUUAGCUGUUAGUUUUUUUAAAUGUAAACUAACAUAGCGUUAAAAUAUUUUUUAAACUAUUAUUGAACAGCUUAUCUUAAGCUUUCCAAUAUUCGACGGUACAAUUUUACUUAGUACAUUUUAUUUUAGAAUUUGAAUGUUGUGCAAACGGACAGCAAAACUACACAUAGUGUUGUUUAUUUAUACUUUUUAUGUUAGAUUAACAG